CUCUCUCUCUCUCUCUCUCUCUCUCUCUCUCCACGUGUUACUCUGCUGUCCGUUUCCAUUUGUGCCUUCAAUCCAAAAACCUCUAUAUCUUUUCUUUUCUGUUUCCUUUCUCUUUCCCUCUCUUCUCUCUGUUUUAUCACCUCUCUCUGCCCAGUUACGCUCUAUUUCUCACCAUAUCUCUCCUCUCCUCCAGCCCCCUCAUUUCCAUACGUUCCCUCAUAUCCCCUCAGUUUUUCCCUAUAUUUCCUCUCAUAUUUUCCCUCUUAUUUUCUAUCCUUCCCUCUCAUGUCCUCUCUCUCCCUCUCCAUAUCUCCUCUCUCAUAUCUCAUCAUGCGGAAAGCUCGACGCGUCAGGUGUUUCCUCACUCCUGCCUCUUCUCGUGUCUCUUCCUCGUUCCUUGGUCAUCGCUGAGUAAUCCCCAAUGUCUCCGGGGAAAUCUCACAGUGUUCCUUUCAAGCCACCCUAUCUAGUGUUGUGUAACGUCUGUUGACUCCCAGCUACCUCAACUCUUCCUUCUAAUACGCCCAAGAGGUGGUGAUCAGCAGGUGUUGAGGCUGACACACAUGAACGUGCCACUUACAUGUUCAUCGCAAUACUAAGCAACAAUGCGGCCACAAGUCCUUCUUUCCAAGACUACUACUAUAUAUUAAUACCUAAAAAUGUCUCAGCCCCGUGACAACUCAAGAAUAAACAUCUGUAAACCUUCAUAGACAUCUAUUCACAACCUAGCUGUUUCUUUUUUUCUCAGAAAAAAUGGUGAACAGAGUGUUUCAAUAUGAUGGGUCGAAGAUACAUUAGAUAGAUCAACAACAAAAACUGAUUUUCAAAGAAAAUCAAAGGAAAUCGUUCAGAUAUAUUGAUUUUGCGUGUGAGCAAGUUGGCUUUUUACUGCGCAUGCGUCAGUUGUUACAUGUACUC